AGAGUUUGAUCAUGGCUCAGAAUCAACGCUGGCGGCGUGCCUCAGACAUGCAAGUCGAACGAUUAAAGCUUUCUUCGGAAAGUGUAUAAAGUGGCGCACGGGUGAGUAACACGUAAGUAAUCUACCUUUGGGUGGGGAAUAACUCAAGGAAACUUGAGCUAAUACCGCAUAAUGCAGCGGCUCCUUCGGGAGACAGUUGUUAAAGCAUUUAUGUGCCUAAAGAGGAGCUUGCGGCAGAUUAGCUAGUUGGUAAGGUAAUGGCUUACCAAGGCGACGAUCUGUAGCCGGCCUGAGAGGGCGGUCGGUCACACUGACACUGAAUAACGGGUCAGACUCCUACGGGAGGCAGCAGUCGGGAAUUUUGGGCAAUGGGCGAAAGCCUGACCCAGCAACGCCGCGUGAAGGAUGAAGUCCUUCGGGAUGUAAACUUCGGAAAUAUGGGAAGAAUAAAUGACGGUACCAUAUCUAAGCUCCGGCUAACUACGUGCCAGCAGCCGCGGUAAUACGUAGGGAGCAAGCGUUGUUCGGAUUUACUGGGCGUAAAGGGUGCGUAGGCGGCGCGUCAAGUCACUUGUGAAAUCUCCGGGCUUAACUCGGAACGGCCAAGUGAUACUGUCGUGCUAGAGUGCAGAAAGGGCAACUGGAAUUCUUGGUGUAGCGGUGAAAUGCGUAGAUAUCAAGAGGAACACCUGAGGCGAAGGC
rnacentral:rRNA from 1 species